rnacentral:lncRNA from 1 species
GACAGAAGGUAGGGUUUGUUUUUUUUUAAAUGACCCAUGGAUCUAAGGAGAAGGAAACAUCCUUUUGGCUUCCUUUUCAGGACUGGGGAAGGAGGAGAGAGAGAAGGCACAGUAGUUAAGCCCUCUGGACAGGCUGAGGGCCACUUAGAUCUAGACCUGGAAAGGACCCCUGCAUCCACCUAAUCCAACACCCUCAUUUGACAAAUGAAGAAACUGAGAGCCAGAAAGGCAAGUCCCUUGUCUAAGAUCAGCCAGGGACCAUACUGCCUCAAGUAGCAGAGCUGAGAGUGGAACCCAGGUCUUAGGACUCUAGAUUCAGCCUCUUUCCACCACCCCAUACUUCCUCUUAGUCUGCCUUCAGGGGAUACCUCCCCACCCUGCCUGCCCACUGGAUUAGAGUGGGAUGUGGGCUGGGCCCUGCGGUUCGGGCGAUGGGGGCGGUGGAGUCUGAGUUGUUUGGUUGGGCAUGGGAGGGGUGGGAGCUGGGGGCAGAAGCACUCCCCUCCCCCCCCAGGGGCUGCAGGAUGUGAUGGGAAGGACCAGCCAACGUGCCUACCCCUGCCCCUCCCAGCCUCUUCGGCCUGAACCCGUCGCCCCAAGUCUCCGGGGCUAAGAAGAGUGACCGAAAGUUCGCUUGCGGCUGCGACAGGAGAAGUCGGUGGCUUCCUCUCUUUCUCGAGCCGGGGGCGGGGGAAGGGGAAGCUGGGACUAGUUCCCUUGGGCCAGUCAGCCCAGCCGAGGGGCUCGGGGGCUCCCUGGCUUCAGCAGGACCCGCCCACGGAGCGAGGCAGAGCGUGUACUAAAAACCUAGAAAUAGAGCUGCAGAAGAGGUUUUCCUGCCUGAAGAGUUCCAUGUUCUUGACGGAUUUAUUCUGGAGAGGAAGGAAGACUGCAGGCCUAAUCACAGCGAGGACUCUGGGACUUAGCGAGGAGAUGGGAGCUUGAAGGUGGAGAGGUGACCCAAGUGAGAAGAUGGGGGCUCAAGGAUGGUGAUGCAGGCCAAGUGAGUAGAUGAGGGCUUAAUGAGAAGAAGUGAGGAUUUGGGGGUUCACUGAGGGUAUGAAAGCGUAACGAGGGGAUAGGACCUCAGGGAAGGAGGGGGGAGCUUCUAAAGGGCUGGGGACUCUGUGGAAGAGAUAUGGGCUCAGUGAUGGAGAGGGAAACUCAGGGAAAGGUCAGCUAGGUAGCAGAGUUUCCAGUGUGUGUAUCCACAGAACUCCAGUCAGGAUCAGGAAGACCUGGAUUCAAAUGUGGCUUCAGAUACUUCUUAGCUGUGUGAUCCUGGACAAGUCACUUAACUCUGCUGCUUUUCCCUUUGUCCUUCUGUUUUAGAGUUGUUACUGAGAGAAGGUA